UUAAAUCAUCACAGUAUGAUGAAUCUGCACAUUUUAGUUUAAAUCAUAGACUUGUUUUUGCUGUUCCUCAUUGUCAAGCUCACAGCUGAAGGGUUUCUGUAUCUUAUGUUUUCUCCUACAUAUUAUGUUGUUUUUAAGUUAUUUAAGUGCCCAAAGGUCUGUAUUAUUAUUAUUAUUAUUACUAUUAUUAUUAUUGUUGUUGUUUUCAUUUCAAACCUUCAAUGAGAAGCUGU